CAAACACACAGGUAAGGGUCUCAGGCCAGCGUGCUGUCUGGAGAGGAGAAGUUAAAAUGAGCCAACUUCCAGAUGGGAACACAACAGUCCUGACCACAACAGUGACACAGAGUGGAGCUGUUGGGAUCCGGACAAGGGAGGUCAUCCUAGCUGCCAUUGCUGUGGUCAUCACCAUUUCUCUAAUAUACUCUCUCGUCUUUCAAAUCUGCUUACUCAUUGAAAACAGGACUGCACCAGCAACACCACAAGAAGAAAUAUCACUCCAAUUGGUGUAUUCUAGAGUGAACAACAGACAACAAAGAGGUCGUAGCUACAGGGAGACAAUUAACUCUCUGUAUGACACAUCAACUAUAUCCUGGAGCCACAAAACUGUAAACCCAACCACAACCUGGACCUCAACUAUUACCCAAUCUCUGAGGCAUAGAGAGCAACACAGCCUACACAUGCACUUUAAACGGCUCCAAACAGCUGACUUUUCUAAGUCAUGCAUCUUUUCAUAUCAUCUUCUUGUUAUGUCAUCUCUUUUCUCAUUCUAUUUCAGAAAAGAUUAGAGACAACAGA